CCCGGCUAACUCCGUGCCAGCAGCCGCGGUAAUACGGAGGGGGUUAGCGUUGUUCGGAAUUACUGGGCGUAAAGCGCACGUAGGCGGACUGGAAAGUUGGGGGUGAAAUCCCAGGGCUCAACCCUGGAACUGCCUCCAAAACUAUCAGUCUAGAGUUCGAGAGAGGUGAGUGGAAUUCCGAGUGUAGAGGUGAAAUUCGUAGAUAUUCGGAGGAACACCAGUGGCGAAGGCGGCUCACUGGCUCGAUACUGACGCUGAGGUGCGAAAGUGUGGGGAGCAAACAGGAUUAGAUACCCUGGUAGUCCACACCGUAAACGAUGAAUGCCAGUCGUCGGGUAGCAUGCUAUUCGGUGACACACCUAACGGAUAAGCAUCCGCCUGGGA
rnacentral:rRNA from 1 species